AUUGUUUCUCGGCCUUUUGGCUAAGAGCAAGUGUAG
rnacentral:snRNA from 1 species